UACGAAGGGGGCUAGCGUUGCUCGGAAUCACUGGGCGUAAAGGGUGCGUAGGCGGGUUUUUAAGUCAGGGGUGAAAUCCUGGAGCUCAACUCCAGAACUGCCUUUGAUACUGAAGAUCUUGAGUCCGGGAGAGGUGAGUGGAACUGCGAGUGUAGAGGUGAAAUUCGUAGAUAUUCGCAAGAACACCAGUGGCGAAGGCGGCUGACUGGUCCGGUUCUGACGCUGAGGCGCGAAAGCGUGGGGAGCAAACAGG
rnacentral:rRNA from 1 species